AUACAUGUAUCAACUUUCCUUUAUUGAUUUAGAGUUGUAUAGUUGUAAGCAAUUAUGUAUUUUUGGUGGAUGGCUAAAAUGUAAAGAAUUAUGAAUGUAAGUUAAAAUGAAUGUAAUAGUUGUAGUUUAUUUGUAUUUGGUUAAAAUAUAAUCAAAUAUCAUGUAUGGUUGUAUGCUUUAGCUUAGAACUUUCGCUUUCGUUGUUGCUUGCCCUCGUGCAAGCCUUGUAUAAUUGCUUAUUUCUUUGUUUGAUUGCUUAAUUAUACUUGUUGUUAGAGCCGUGGGCGGACAGGGGAGAUGCUGUCCGUUCGGCGUCUGUUGACGUGACCCGAACCCGACCAAAUUGGCAGGGAUUUGGACGUGACAACUUCCCUUAUAGUGUCAAGAGGAAGAUGGAGCAGAACUUGCG
rnacentral:lncRNA from 1 species